rnacentral:rRNA from 1 species
AGAGCGAACGCUGGCGGCAGGCCUAACACAUGCAAGUCGAGCGCCCCGCAAGGGGAGCGGCAGACGGGAGAGUAACACGUGGGAACGUACCCUUCAGUUCGGAACAACCCAGGGAAACUUGGGCUAAUACCGAAUACGUCCGUAAGGAGAAAGAUUUAUCGCUGAAGGAUCGGCCCGCGUCUGAUUAGCUUGUUGGUGAGGUAACGGCUCACCAAGGCGACGAUCAGUAGCUGGUCUGAGAGGAUGAUCAGCCUCACUGGGACAGAGACACGGCCCAGACUCCUACGGGAGGCAGCAGUGGGGAAUAUUGGACAAUGGGCGCAAGCCUGAUCCAGCCAUGCCGCGUGGGUGAUGAAGGCCCUAGGGUUGUAAAGCCCUUUCGGCGGGAAGAUAAUGACGGUACCCGCAGAAGAAGCCCCGGCUAACUUCGCGCCAGCAGCCGC